AUUUUUCUGGCAUAAUUUAAAAAAAUGUUUAAACCCAUAGUCCUUCUUGUUUGAGAAGCAAAUACCUCUUUUUGCUUCUUCCCCACCCGGCUCCCCAGACUGCCUCGGAUUCCUUUUGUUUUUUCCCCAACUUCUUGCAACCUGUGGUUGUAUUUUCCGGUGGAAGGCAAGCUCUCGGCAGUCCUCUGUUCUUCCAGUGCUCCUCCAGAAUUUGCUUCAUUCUCGCCCCCUUGCUCGCUCAUUCCCCUUUGCCCCAUAUGCGUAGUACAACCGUCACUGUCGUCUGUGCUCACCAUCUGUUUCUAAAAUUCCUAUGAUACAGAAAUCACAUGACAGUUUGAGGUGCAGCCAUUUCAAUGUUGCAAGCUUUCGCUUGGCGGGGUUUGGAAAGGAUGGCUGUGUGGUUUUGCAGGAUGGGGCUGACCAGCUCACAUGGUGUGAUCACAAGCCCUCCUGAAGGACCUUCGAAAGCUGCUGCCGACAGGAUCAGAUGUUUCUGUAAGACUGAGAAUGGAGAAUAAAGCCACAGGCUUUAUUUUCAGCUGAGACCCAGGCUAGAUGGCAGCCAAGGAGAAGAGAAAACAGAACACUCAGGAAGUCCCAUGGAAGGGUCUACAUGUCAAGGAACUGAGUCCUUCCAAUAAGCAUGAAGGAAGUGAGAGUUCCUGUGAACAACUGUGCAAGUCAGCCAUCUUGGAAGCAUAUAUUCUAGCUCCAGUCAAGCCUUCAGGUGACUGCAGCCCUGGCGAGGUAUCCUGACUACAGUUUCUUUAGAGACCCUGAGCUGGAACCACUCAGAUUAAGUUGCUACUAAAUUAUGAGAUAAUAAAUAUAAAUUUGUUUGAGAUACUAUGUUUUGUAGUAAUGUAUUACAUUGCAAUAGAUAACUAAUAAACUUUCUUUUUUCCUGCUACACACACUAUUUGUCAUGAAUUUGGUGACUGGUUUUAUAUUUCCUCUGCAAUAAUUUGAAUUAUACCUAUUUUUACUUGGUGCUGCUUUGAAUACAUUAUAUUUCAUCUCUUCCUUUGGUAGCGAAAUUCAUCAUGUCUAACUGGAAGGUAGACAUUUGCAUUUGUACUAGAAAAACUUGAUUGGUUUACUAGCAUGGUCACUGUGCUCUGGUAAAAAAAAUGUCAAGAAAUUCUGAUAAUUUCUUGCCACUUUUGGAAAAAAACACAAUAAUGAAUUCAAGAUUAAGAGAAAAUGG
rnacentral:lncRNA from 1 species